UACGUAGGGGACUAGCGUUAUCCGGAAUUACUGGGCGUAAAGGGUGCGUAGGUGGUUUCUUAAGUCAGAGGUGAAAGGCUACGGCUCAACCGUAGUAAGCCUUUGAAACUGGGAAACUUGAGUGCAGGAGAGGAGAGUGGAAUUCCUAGUGUAGCGGUGAAAUGCGUAGAUAUUAGGAGGAACACCAGUUGCGAAGGCGGCUCUCUGGACUGUAACUGACACUGAGGCACGAAAGCGUGGGGAGCAAACAGGAUUAGAUACCCUGGUAGUCCCUGAG
rnacentral:rRNA from 1 species